GCUGAAGUGGUGAAACUGGUAUACACGCUGUCUUGAGGGGGCAGUAUCCAAUUAGGAUGUGCGGGUUCGAAUCCCGCCUUCAGCACAA
rnacentral:tRNA from 1 species